rnacentral:rRNA from 1 species
UGGGGAAUAUUGGACAAUGGGCGAAAGCCUGAUCCAGCCAUGCCGCGUGCGUGAAGAAGGUCUUCGGAUUGUAAAGCACUUUAAGUUGGGAGGAAGGGCAUUUACCUAAUACGUAAGUGUUUUGACGUUACCGACAGAAUAAGCACCGGCUAACUCUGUGCCAGCAGCCGCGGUAAUACAGAGGGUGCAAGCGUUAAUCGGAAUUACUGGGCGUAAAGCGCGCGUAGGUGGUUUGUUAAGUUGGAUGUGAAAUCCCCGGGCUCAACCUGGGAACUGCAUUCAAAACUGACAAGCUAGAGUAUGGUAGAGGGUGGUGGAAUUUCCUGUGUAGCGGUGAAAUGCGUAGAUAUAGGAAGGAACACCAGUGGCGAAGGCGACCACCUGGACUGAUACUGACACUGAGGUGCGAAAGCGUGGGGGAGCAAAACAGGAUUAGAUACCCUGGUAGUCCACGCCGUAAACGUGUCAACUAGCCGUUGGGAGCCUUGAGCUCUUAGUGGCGCAGCUAACGCAUUAAGUUGACCGCCUGGGGAGUACGGCCGCAAGGUUAAAAACUCAAAGGAAUUGACGGGGUCAUAGCUGUUUCCUG